CGGACGGGUGAGUAACGCGUGAGGAACCUGCCUUUCAGUGGGGGACAACAGUUGGAAACGACUGCUAAUACCGCAUAACGUACGGGUAUCGCAUGGUGUCUGUACCAAAGAUUUAUCGCUGAGAGAUGGCCUCGCGUCUGAUUAGCUAGUUGGUAGGGUAACGGCCUACCAAGGCGACGAUCAGUAGCCGGACUGAGAGGUUGGCCGGCCACAUUGGGACUGAGAUACGGCCCAGACUCCUACGGAAGGCAGCAG
rnacentral:rRNA from 1 species